rnacentral:rRNA from 1 species
CGCUAUAAUUAGCCCAAAACAUCUAGCCAUGCCACACCUACAAAGGACCUCAGCAGUGAUUAAUAUUAAAAAUAAACGUCAGUUUGACUUAGCCAAUGAAAACAGAACCGGCCAAUCUGGUGCCAGCCGCCGCGGUUACACCACGUGGUUCAAAUUGAUUUUUCCGGCGUAAAGUGUGAUUAAAGAAAUAACCUAUGGGGUCAAACUAAGACUAAGCCGUAGUACGCUUGUCUUUAAGAAAAACACACUAUACCCCAACACACCCACUUGAAUUCACGACAACUAGGGUACAAACUGGGAUUAGAUACCCCACUAUGCCUAGUCAUAAACUAUAACUUACACCCACCCCCGCCCGGGAACUACGAGCAAAGCUUAAAACCCAAAGGACUUGACGGUGCCCCAUAUCCCCCUAGAGGAGCCUGUCCUAUAACCGAUACCCCACGUUUAACCUCACCAUCUUUAGUUUAUCAGCCUGUAUACUUCCGUCGCCAGCUUACCGCGUGAGCGUUACAAGUAAGCUCAAUGUCCCCCACCAACACGUCAGGUCAAAGUGCAGCAAAUGAGAUGGGAAGAGAUGGGCUACACUUUCUAAUAUAGAAAAUACGAAAGACUUCAUGAAACCUAGUCAGAAGGCGGAUUUAGCAGUAAGAAGAAUCUAGAAUACUCCUC